CAAUGGGGGAACCCUGAUGCAGCGACGCCGCGUGGAGGAAGAAGGUCUUCGGAUUGUAAACUCCUGUUGUUGAGGAAGAUAAUGACGGUACUCAACAAGGAAGUGACGGCUAACUACGUGCCAGCAGCCGCGGUAAAACGUAGGUCACAAGCGUUGUCCGGAAUUACUGGGUGUAAAGGGAGCGCAGGCGGGAGAACAAGUUGGAAGUGAAAUCCAUGGGCUCAACCCAUGAACUGCUUUCAAAACUGUUUUUCUUGGGUAGUGCAGAGGUAGGCGGAAUUCCCGGUGUAGCGGUGGAAUGCGUAGAUAUCGGGAGGAACACCAGUGGCGAAGGCGGCCUACUGGGCACCAACUGACGCUGAGGCUCGAAAGUGUGGGUAGCAAACAGGAUUAGAUACCCUGGUAGUCCAAGGGCGAAUUC
rnacentral:rRNA from 1 species